rnacentral:lncRNA from 1 species
AGGAAUUACUUCAUCUUUUGGAUCAUUCAUCCUUUAGCAUAAAUCAGUAAGUUGUUUCCCAAGCUGUAAGAAAUUGUUAUUAACUGAAUUUCUCAAUUCUCCCAUAUCCUUGAUCUGGUUCAUUUGCAAUGUUUGCAAUCGGACAAAGUCUGGAUUAGUUGAUAAAUCUAUAUUGUUUGCUAUCUGCAGAUUCAAGAAGAAAAAACAAGUUCAUAAGUUCACUUAAGAAAGCACCAAACAAUACGACCUAAAUUGGAUCACUACUGUGAAAUAAAGUCACCUGUAGAUUUGGUGUGCCCCAGAUCCGAGAAUUGAAUUCACGGAUAUCCGAGACAGAGCGAGACGGAGCUAGACUCCUGAUAUUGAGUCUUAGCGUCCCAAAAUCGAUUGUUGUUAAGCG